UCUUCUCCACCACCACCACCACCGUAUUGUGUCCGCCCUCCACCACCUCCGCCAAAUUCUCCUCCACCGCCUCCUCCACUGUACUCCUCACCACCGCCAAACCCUUACAUUUAUAGCUCACCACCACCUCCGCCACAUCACUCACCACCUCCACCGCCACAUUCACCCCCACCUCCUAUUUAUCCAUACCAAUCUCCCCCGCCACCUCCACCAGUCCAUUCACCACCACCUCCAUCCCCACCCCCUUGUAUAGAACCACCUCCCCCUCCACCACCACCAUGUGUAGAAUAUUCGCCCCCACCUCCAUUGCCUUCACCUCCACCGCCAACUCAUUAUAAGCCCCCGCCAUCGCCAUCACCACCAC
rnacentral:lncRNA from 1 species